rnacentral:rRNA from 1 species
GACGAACGCUGGCGGCGUGCCUAACACAUGCAAGUCGAACGGGGUGAAGAGCUUCGGCUUUUCACUUAGCGGCGAACGGGUGAGUAACGCGUGAGGAACCUGCCUCUCAGUGGGGGACAACAGUUGGAAACGACUGCUAAUACCGCAUGAGACCACAGUGCCGCAUGGCACAGGGGUCAAAGAUUUAUUGCUGAGAGGUGGGCUCGCGUCCGAUUAGAUAGUUGGUGAGGUAACGGCUCACCAAGUCGACGAUCGGUAGCCGACCUGAGAGGGUGAUCGGCCACAUUGGGACUGAGACACGGCCCAAACUCCUACGGGAGGCAGCAGUGGGGAAUAUUGGGCAAUGGGCGAAAGCCUGACCCAGCAACGCCGCGUGAAGGAAGAAGGUCUUCGGAUCGUAAACUUCUGUCCUAAGUGAAGAGUAGAAGACGGUAACUUAGGAGGAAGCCCCGGCUAACUACGUG